GUUUCCAUACUGUAGUGGUUAUCACGUUUGCCUCACUUGCGAAAGGUCCCCGGUUCGAUUCCAGGUGGGAACA
rnacentral:tRNA from 1 species